rnacentral:rRNA from 1 species
UACGGGGGGGGCAAGCGUUGUUCGGAAUUACUGGGCGUAAAGGGCUCGUAGGCGGCUAACUAAGUCAUACGUGAAAUCCCUCGGCUUAACCGGGGAACUGCGUCUGAUACUGGAUGGCUUGAGUUCGGGAGAGGGAUGCGGAAUUCCAGGUGUAGCGGUGAAAUGCGUAGAUAUCUGGAGGAACACCGGUGGCGAAGGCGGCAUCCUGGACCGAUACUGACGCUGAGGAGCGAAAGCCAGGGGAGCAAACGGG